GGCCUAACACAUGCAAGUCGAACGAGAAGGUUCUGCUUCGGCGGGACGAGUAGAGUGGCGCACGGGUGAGUAACGCGUAGGUAAUCUACCUUUAUAUCUGGGAUAACCAGCCGAAAGGCUGGCUAAUACCGGAUACGCUUCAAUAUACGCGAGUAUUUUGAAGGAAAGGUGCCCUCUGUAACAAGGUGCCGUAUAGAGAUGAGCCUGCGUACCAUUAGCUAGUAGGUGGGGUAACGGCCCACCUAGGCGACGAUGGUUAGCGGGUCUGAGAGGAUGAUCCGCCACACUGGAGCUGGAACACGGACCAGACUCCUACGGGAGGCAGCAGUGAGGAAUUUUGCGCAAUGGGGGCAACCCUGACGCAGCGACGCCGCGUGGGUGAAGAAGGUUUUCGGAUCGUAAAGCCCUGUCAGGCGGGAAGAAAUGCCGGAUGGUUAAUAACCAUUUGGUUUGACGGUACCGCCAAAGGAAGCACCGGCUAACUCCGUGCCAGCAGCCGCGGUAAU
rnacentral:rRNA from 1 species